CCUCCAUUGAUUUCAGGUGAGGUUAAAUCCAACAAAAUAUACCUUCGAAGUUACUAUCAAAAAGUUUUUGAGAUUCAUGAUCUCAUGAAGAGGCAUCGUGGUGAAUCUCGAGAAGAUCAGGGCAAUUCUUGAGAUGACUCCAUCGAAAAUAGUGGGGGAGGUGCAACAUCUCACUGGCAGGAUCGCUUCGCUCAAUCACUUCAUCUCCAGAU
rnacentral:lncRNA from 1 species